rnacentral:rRNA from 1 species
AUGUGUAUUCCUAAAAGGGAUGGAGGUAUGGGAUUUCGAGAUCUACACUCUUUUAAUUUGGCAAUGCUUGCAAAACAGUCUUGGAGGCUCAUCUCAAAUUCUGAUUCCCUUUGUGCUAAAGUUUUGAAAGCAAAGUAUUUUCCUCACUACUCCUUAGUCAGAGCUGGUCCAAAGAAGGGGUCCUCCUUUACAUGGCAGAGUAUUGUGGCAGGUUUGAACACCUUCCGAAGAGGCCACAUUUGGCGGGUUGGCACUGUGAAAAUUAAUAUCUGGGAUGAUCAUUGGGUCCCAGGUAGCCCAUCUCGUAUGAUCCAAAUGCCAAGGGGAAAUAUUUUAUUGCAAACUGUAAAUGAGCUUAUUGACCCGAAUACUGGAAGUUGGGAUGAGGUUCUUUUGAGAGACAUUUUCUCUCCGAUUGAUGUCCACAGAAUACUUAGCAUUCCCCUAAGCGCACACCUUGAUGAGGAUUUUAUUGCUUGGCACUAUACAAAAUCCUAUAUAUUUUCUGUGCGAUCG